rnacentral:lncRNA from 1 species
ACUAAAGGGAGAAUUGAAAGUAAGUUUCAAUUCACAAUCGAUUUGAAAUGGUUUUAAUCGCCCACUGUCUCGCUAAAAGGAACCUAAUGGAUCGUACACCGUGUAAGGUGGAGAUUGAAGAAACAAUGGAGAUGAGUAAGAAUAAUUAAAUGGUUUAAUUAUUUAUGGCAAGGAUUAAUUAAUAUGUUAAUUAAUCAAACGAAUAAGUUCGUUGAAGACCUCGGGAUAGUUUUGGACCUUAAGGCCCAAUGGGCUUCGAACGUCAAAGCCCAUGGACUUAAGUUGUAGGACAACUUAAUGAAUAAAGAUUCACAAGGACCCAAAAGCCCAAAUCCCUCAAUUGGCCGGCCAUGUUAAAAGAAUGGCUUUUUGGUUCUUUAGGUCACUUAUUUGAAGGGACUAUAUAAAGGACUUUAUAGCCUAAAUUCAUUAAGGGUUUCUUUUAGAGAAUUGGAGAGAACAUAUCUCUCUCUUUUCUCU